UUCAAAAUGAGCGUGUAGCAUUUGCUGUCAAAACGAAAAUUUUCAUCGCAGGUUUGGUGCGCGUGGUAGGUACGCGAUGGUGUUAGAAAAAUGUUUUGCUAAAAAUUUUUCCCAAGAGAAUUCACUUCCAAAAAUGGAAAAGCAGACGAUAUUGAAGCAGAUCAGUCCACGGAGAAUCACGCUAUCAAUGAAGCCGUGACGCUGGAUUUCGGAAUGCUCAACCUGAGCUGGAAGACAUACUUGCAUACAACUUGCAAAAAAACACUGACUCUCAAAGAAAUUUUCAUGUAAAUUAUUAAGUGUUUUGUGAUUCGUGAAUAAAUAUUUUGACAUAUAUGAAA